AGUGAACGCUGGCGGUAGGCCUAACACAUGCAAGUCGAACGGCAGCACAGUAAGAGCUUGCUCUUACGGGUGGCGAGUGGCGGACGGGUGAGGAAUACAUCGGUAUCUACUUUUUCGUGGGGGAUAACGUAGGGAAACUUACGCUAAUACCGCAUACGACCUACGGGUGAAAGCAGGGGAUCUUCGGACCCUGCGCGAUUGAAUGAGCCGAUGUCGGAUUAGCUAGUUGGCGGGGUAAAGGCCCACCAAGGCGACGAUCCGUAGCUGGUCUGAGAGGAUGAUCAGCCACACUGGAACUGAGACACGGUCCAGACUCCUACGGGAGGCAGCAGUGGGGAAUAUUGGACAAUGGGCGCAAGCCUGAUCCAGCCAUACCGCGUGGGUGAAGAAGGCCUUCGGGUUGUAAAGCCCUUUUGUUGGGAAAGAAAAGCAGCAGGUUAAUACCCCGCUGUUCUGACGGUACCCAAAGAAUAAGCACCGGCUAACUUCGUG
rnacentral:rRNA from 1 species